rnacentral:rRNA from 1 species
AGAGUUUGAUUCUGGCUCAGGAUGAACGCUGGCGGCGUGCUUAACACAUGCAAGUCGAGCGAAGCACUUUGAUUGGAUUCUUCGGAUGAAGAUAAUUGUGACUGAGCGGCGGACGGGUGAGUAACGCGUGGGCAACCUGCCUUACACAGGGGGAUAACAGUUAGAAAUGACUGCUAAUACCGCAUAAGACCGCGGAACCGCAUGGUUCUGAGGUAAAAACUCCGGUGGUGUAAGAUGGGCCCGCGUCUGAUUAGGUAGUUGGUGAGGUAACGGCUCACCAAGCCGACGAUCAGUAGCCGACCUGAGAGGGUGACCGGCCACAUUGGGACUGAGACACGGCCCAGACUCCUACGGGAGGCAGCAGUGGGGAAUAUUGCACAAUGGGGGAAACCCUGAUGCAGCGACGCCGCGUGAGCGAUGAAGUAUUUCGGUAUGUAAAGCUCUAUCAGCAGGGAAGAAAAUGACGGUACCUGACUAAGAAGCCCCGGCUAACUACGUGCCAGCAGCCGCGGUAAUACGUAGGGGGCAAGCGUUAUCCGGAUUUACUGGGUGUAAAGGGAGCGUAGACGGUCCUGCAAGCCAGAUGUGAAAGCCCGGGGCUCAACCCCGGGACUGCAUUUGGAACUGU